GGAUACAAUCUCGCUCUUUUUCAUUUGAAUGUGGUUAUUCUUAUCUUUCUUAAUAUCUCAUGCGUAAAUAUUAUAUCAAUACUUGGAUACCUACUUUACAUAAUAAAUUUGUAAUCAGCAACACUGAUAAUAUUUACGUCAAACAAAGCCAAAUGAAGAAAACUAUUAAUAUAACAUUCAUGAGAACAUAAACCAAAACGAAAAUCACUAUAUUUGAAACAUGUUACUAUAUUUCGUCUGAUUCUUAUAAUUGUCACAUGCCCUUAAAUUGCAGCAUCAUUACUUGAGUCUAAUUACCAAACGAAGAGUCUAACUAUAUUCUCUGCAAUUGCAGUGUAUUUAAAAACUAAACAAGUUAUUAGGAACCACUUAGCAAAAGAUAAAAAAACAAGAGAUCACCCAAAUUCUAUCAUCAUAUCAAUAGAAAAAGAUCACAAAACACGACUAAACUAUUCAAAAUACAAUCCCAGAAACAUGAAUUUCUAUUUACUCAAAUAGACUAAAAUACCUUUGUUGGGGUGUCUUUAAGAAUUGAAUCGAAGUUGGCAGUGUUCAAUUCAACAGCUUUGUCGUUUUUUAUUGGCGAUUACAAAGUCGAUCGGCGAAUCAACCGCGAGCUCGGGGAAGAAGACGCAGGCGAUUACAAGGCUGGUGAAUAAAAGCAUAUGUUCAAAAGACAUCAAAUCGAAUCAAAGCGCCAUGUUGAAGACGAACCCUUCUCUGAGAUUUCAAAGCUUUUCUUCCUUUUUUUCUCAAUAGAGAGAGAAGACGAAAGGAUCUACUCAAAGCUUCCGGAAAGAGUAAACAAAAAGAAAGGAAAACAAUCGGCUGCUAAAUGAAAAAAAAAAGAAAUAACAGAGAAAGAAUAAAAAAGAAAAAAGGAAAUCUUUGAAUUCGAAGAUGUUAGUGACGGAAGAUGAUGCUCGCUUCUUCGUUUAGAAUCGUGCGAAAAAAUUAAAGCUAUCGGUGGUUGUCCAAGAAAAAGCGACAAUCGACGACGACGGAGAGAGGAUGAGUGGUUUGCUGCGAGCUCUGAGAUUUGUCGUGGAGGAGUGCUCAGGCAGGAGUAAGGAGAACAUCAAUUCUUCAAAGCCCAACAAUAUCAAUUCUUCAAAGCCCAUAAAAACA
rnacentral:lncRNA from 1 species